UGCCCUUACCCCACUCGUGCAUGCACAUGCUCUCUCUCUCUCUCUCAAAAGAAAUAAACUAAAAAAAAAAAAUAGUUUUAGAUUUACAGAAACAUUGCAAAGAGAGUACAAAAAGAUCCCCCUUUACUCUAUGACCUGUUAUCAGUUUCCCCUGUAUCCUCCAUUAGUAUGGUACAUUUGUCACAGUUGAUGAACCAACACUGAUACAUUACUGUUAACUAAAGUCCAUGCUUUAUUCAGAUGUGCUUAGUUUCUACAUUAACGUCCUUUGUCCUGUUCGGGGAUACAUGACAUUGAUACAUCGUGCCUCGUCUUGACUGCAACGGUUUCCAGACUUUCCUUGUUUUGAAUGACCUUGACGAUUUUGAAGAGUGACGGUCAGGGACCAGGGGCAGGGUUCAUGUUCGCCUGAAGGUACGAAAAAAGGGUGUCGGAACUAGAACCCUUGAUUUGUUUUGUUUUCGUGUGUUUGUUUCCGAGAGCUCUUGGGGUGCUGGGAGUCCCAACGUGGGAGUGUAACAAGGUUGCCAGUUUCUCACUCCAAGCUUCAUGGGGGGAAGCUUCCACUUGGUUUGGGGUGAGAGCAGGCUCAGAGAGGAAUGGGAUCGUGCCCACCUUUGACACUUUUCAGGGGCUCGAGACCAUGCCUCUGAAGACACUUGGGACAGAAUGAAUGAAUCAGGUGUCUUAUGUCCUUUCCACCGGCGCCACCUGGAGGUAGAAGGUGAGCCCUGCAGAGAGGCUGGCGAUGUGAUGGACCCCAAAGGCAGAGCAGGGGGGCCCUCCGGUGAACGCCGGGAAGAGGUGCAUUUACAAGCAUCGGGGGGACCGCAGGUGAGAACCAGGGCUGGAGAGUGGACAGAAGCACCAGCCGGGGAAAUAAAGAGAAAGCCGACUGUGCUCGCUACCAAAAGCGUUUCAGUUACUGAACCGACACUCUUUUUCCCUUGCAUUUGCCUAAUUGGACGCCUUUACUACCUGAGAUGACUGUGGAGGUCGCGAGACUUGCCUUAGACGUCCCCCACGGGCACAGAGCGGCUUCCUCCACAUGGUGAGACAGAUGGGCACCGAGAACUCCCAAGUUUCGAAGAGCAUGACUUCCUGGACUUGAGGAACAGAGACAGAACGUGAGUGGGGGAGGGGCAGAGAGAGAGG